AAAAUGAUAUUGUUUGUACCGUAGACAGUAGGUGCCAAUUGGCUUAAUUUCCUACCGAGGUGUGAAUUUUUACGAUAUAAAGCAUUGCGCUUUUAACGAUAAAACUUCUGCCUCCACCUGCGUGGAGGCAUUCUUUAUGUACAC
rfam:Bacillus sp. CHD6a contig26, whole genome shotgun sequence.